AGAAAGUAGGUUGAUUACUUGCGCCCCAUGUAACUUCGGACUUCUCGUUUAUCAAGGACUGUCGUGGAUGGGUUAAGUCCACAUAAGGUUCUUUUUUAUGCCUUGAGGCCAAGGACUUUUAACUGAUCAGAUUUACAUGCCCGAGGGCUUAGGACUUGGAUCUGGUUUGAACACUGACAAUAUAUUCAAAUCGGAUUCAAGUACUGAGAAAGCCUUUUAAUAGUCAUGUUGCUAGAAAUAACUUGCAUAUAACUGGAAGUAUACAACAUAUUGAAAAGACAAAACCAAAGCAAAGAAG
rnacentral:lncRNA from 1 species